AGGAAAUAGAUACCCCGGGUAGUCCAUGCCAUAAACGAUGAUCACUUGGUGUUGGAGGUAUUGACCCCUUCAGUGCCGAAAGCUAACGCGUUAAGUGAUCCGCCUGGGGAGUACGGUCGCAAGAUUAAAACUCAAAGAAAUUGACGGGGGCCCGCACAAGCGGUGGAGCAUGUGGUUUAAUUCGAUGCAACGCGAAGAACCUUACCUAGAUUUGACAUGGAUUGGAAGGGUGGCAGAAAUGUCCCCGCCCGCAAGGGCCGAUUCACAGGUGCUGCAUGGCUGUCGUCAGCUCGUGUCGUGAGAUGUUGGGUUAAAGUCCCGCAACGAGCGCAACCCCUAUGUUUAGUUGCCAGCAUUCAGUUGGGCACUCUAGACAGACUGCCGACGUUAAGUCGGAGGAAGGUGGGGAUGACGUCAAGUCCUCAUGGCCUUUAUAUCUAGGGCCACACACGUGCUACAAUGGUAGGUACAAAGGGAA
rnacentral:rRNA from 1 species